rnacentral:lncRNA from 1 species
UGCAACUGAAGUCAUGCACAUUGUUGGUACAAAUGUUAUAGCUUGAAAAAAUAAAGAUACUUGAACCUAACUCAUUGACUGCACUGCAUACAUAAUCAUAAUCCAAAAAGAAAAGACAUUAUUAAAUCCACAUUUAGUUGCUCGGUAGUUUUGCUUCACAUGCUCAAUGACCUCAACACUUUCUUUCUCUUUUCCUUUGUCUUUGUUUUUGCCUGCAAAGCAGAUUUCUCAGAAAUUAAUAACACACAAUAACACAUAAAUUUCACUGAAUUAAUUUACAAAUUAUAAAGUCAGUAUAAUGAACCAUAUUAUGCAAUACAAAGGUUCAUAACACUGACAUGCAAAUUCAUAUAAACUGCAUUUAAAAAAUCGUGAAUUCACAUGUAAUCUUUCAUAUACAACACACAACGCAAUCUCAAAGUGAACUUUCCCAGUAUACCAAAAAAAUUCAUAGGAACCACAAGAAUAAAAAACGAAAAAAANNAAACAAAAAAAAACAUGAACCAUAAAACAGAAUCUACUUAGGUUCCCACAAAAACAAUAUAUACUUACAACAAAUUUGAAGCUAAUCUUAGAUCCAAAACCAUAGUAAAAUCAUAAAAUAAAGAACAAGAUAGUGAUUGUACGUAUUCUAAGAAUCAGCAAAAAUAAAUUCAUAAAUCACAAUCAGCAGAUUCUACCCAAGAAAUACAUAUUCCUAAAUCAAAAUGUUAUUUAACAGACCAUGAAUCAAAAUCGUUCAUUGAGGGUGGAGACAAAAAAAAAAAGGAAAAAAUAAAAAAAUAAAAUCGAUCGAACACAACUCACCCGACGAACCUCCCUUUGUUUUCGCCAUGGAUGAGUUUCACGAAUUAAACCUAGAUCUAAGUAGUUGAAAUACCAGAAAACCCGUUCGUCGGCGCCGAGAAGAAAGUAAAAAGAAUAACCUAAAAAGCUGUCGGUUCAUAAACUACCCCCCAUAAAUGAGUUUGUAAUUUUUUAUUUUCUUAAUUUAUCUCAUACGUUUUAGUUAGAU